rnacentral:rRNA from 1 species
UACAGAGGGUGCGAGCGUUAAUCGGAAUUACUGGGCGUAAAGCGUGCGUAGACGGUCAUGUAAGUCGGAUGUGAAAGCCCCGGGCUCAACCUGGGAAUUGCAUUCGAGACUGCAUGGCUUGGGUGCGGAAGAGGGAAGCGGAAUUUCCGGUGUAGCGGUGAAAUGCGUAGAUAUCGGAAGGAACACCUGUGGCGAAAGCGGCGCACUGGACCAUAACUGACGCUGAUGCGCGAAAGCUAGGGGAGCAAACAGG